rnacentral:tRNA from 1 species
GCCUUCGUGGGGUAGUGGUUAGCAUGCUCGACGCCUAUUCGAGAGAUCCGUGGUUCGAAUCCCGGCGAGAGCA